ensembl:lncRNA
AGCUGGACGAGCUGUGCCCAGAAGUUUCUCCAGGCGCUAUCACCGCGAGCGAGCGCCUUUCCUGAAGAGCCAGCACCCGCGGCCAGGCUACAGAAGGCCUAGAGAAGGGAGGACACAAUCCGGACACGCCUGGCUGUGCUCUGGUCCCAAUCACCUCUCCGGGAUGCCGUGACAGAGGGUAACCCAGCACCCCCAGGACUUCUCAUCUUCCCAUGUGAGAUCUACAUAGCAAGAGGAAGUAUAAGGAGAGUAAUAGAACUUACCGGCAGAACGUAAAAAUGUGGUUGAUAUAGUGCCAAGAUACCUUCUCUCCUUUGAGGCCAUACAACACUAAAGGAGCCGCUAAGACUUCCGUGGCGAGUGUGGUUUCAGCUCCUGGAGCUGGAUUCCGAGCUAAGGUCCGGCUCUGGCUGGGAGGUCCUUUCAGAGUGACAACACCGGAACGGGAGGUGGAAGCGCCGUGCCGACAGACUGCUCUGGAAACAGAAGCCACAAAUGUGCCUUGAAAAUGGCAGAGAAAAACGUGAGAAAGAGC